rnacentral:tRNA from 1 species
GGCGCCGUGGCCGAGUGGUUAGGCAGCGGUCUGCAAAACCGCGUACACCGGUUCAAAUCCGGUCGGUGCCUCCA